CAUUUUAAUUUUUAAGUUAUAUUCAUCUUCCAUUAUUCAUACCAUUCUAAUUGUUUAUGUUAGUGCAAUUUUCCCUUUGUCCAUUUGGACCAUAUUGUGUGAUAUAUCUUGCUUGUGUAUAUUUUGUUUGUUUGUGUGGUCUUGGACCAUUAAUGCACAUAAUAAGAACAAAAACCCUAAAAAACUUUUGUGUGGACUGUUGACUUGAUCUUGGACAAAUUGGACUUAGAAUU
rnacentral:lncRNA from 1 species